rnacentral:rRNA from 1 species
UGAAGAAUCUUCCGCAAUGGGCGAAAGCCUGACGGAGCGACACCGCGUGAAGGAUGAAGGUCUUCGGAUCGUAAACUUCUUUUCUGUGGGAAUAAAUUUUUGAAGGUACCACAGGAAUCAGGGGCUGCUAACUCUGUGCCAGCAGCAGCGGUAAUACAGAGGCCCCCAGCGUUAUCCGGAAUUACUGGGCGUAAAGCGUUUGUAGGUUUCAUGUUAACUCUGCGGUAAAAUCCCUUCGCUCAACGAAGGAUGCGUCGUGGAAAGUAGCAUGAUGGAGUAAGUCAGAGGCACGCGGAAUUCCUAUUGUAGGGGUAAAAUCCGUUGAUAAUAGGAGGAACACCAAAAGCGAAGGCAGCGUGCUGGGGCUUUACUGACACUGAGAAACGAAAGCGUGGGGAGCAAACAGG